GAUGAACGCUGGCGGCGUGCUUAACACAUGCAAGUCGAGCGGACCGCCUCCUUCUUGAGUGUGUCCUCGCGGCGAACGGGCGAGUAACACGCGCGCAACCUGCCCUCCUCUCUGGGUUAACUCCGUGCAACCGUGGCUAAUACAUCCUACAACCUCCACUGGAAUCUGCGGUGGUGGAAAGUUUUUCGGCUUGGGCUGGGCUCGAGGCCUAUCAGCUAGUUGGUGGGGUAGUGGCACACCAAGGCGCCGACGGGUAGCCGGCCUGAGAGGGGGACCGGCCACACGGGGCCUGAGACAGGGCCCAGACUGGUACGGGAGGCAGCAGUGGGAAAUAUUGCGGAGUGGGGGAAAGCCUGAGGUGGCGACGCCGGGUGCGGGACAAAGGCCUUCGGGUUGAAAACCUCUUUCAGCGGAAACAAGGCGAACGUGACGGUACCUGCAGAAGAAGCACCGGCUAACUACGUG
rnacentral:rRNA from 1 species